rnacentral:rRNA from 1 species
GACAGAGGUGCCGAGCGUUAGGCGGAAUCACUGGGCUUAAAGCGUGUGUAGGCGGAUCGUUAAGUGUCUUGUGAAAUCCCCCGGCUCAACCGGGGAACUGCUGGGCAUACUGGCGAUCUUGAGCGGCCUAGGGGCAGAUGGAACAAGUGGUGGAGCGGUGAAAUGCGUAGAUAUCACUUGGAACGCCAAAGGUGAAAACAGUCUGCUGGGGGCCUGCUGACGCUGAGACACGAAAGCCAGGGGAACGAACGGG